UCAGGCCUAACACAUGCAAGUCGAACGGCAGCACGGACUUCGGUCUGGUGGCGAGUGGCGAACGGGUGAGUAAUACAUCGGAACGUGCCCAGUCGUGGGGGAUAACGUAGCGAAAGCUACGCUAAUACCGCAUACGAUCUAAGGAUGAAAGCGGGGGAUCGCAAGACCUCGCGCGAUUGGAGCGGCCGAUGGCAGAUUAGGUAGUUGGUGGGGUAAAGGCUCACCAAGCCGACGAUCUGUAGCUGGUCUGAGAGGACGACCAGCCACACUGGACUGAGACACGGCCCAGACUCCUACGGGAGGCAGCAGUGGGGAAUUUUGGACAAUGGGCGCAAGCCUGAUCCAGCCAUUCCGCGUGCAGGAUGAAGGCCCUCGGGUUGUAAACUGAUUGUGUACGGAACGAAAAGGCUCUGGUAAUACCUGG
rnacentral:rRNA from 1 species